rnacentral:rRNA from 1 species
GACGAACGCUGGCGGCGUGCUUAACACAUGCAAGUCGAACGGAAAGGCCCUGCUUUUGUGGGGUGCUCGAGUGGCGAACGGGUGAGUAACACGUGAGUAACCUGUCCUUGACUUUGGGAUAACUUCAGGAAACUGGGGCUAAUACCGGAUAGGAGCUCCUGCUGCAUGGUGGGGGUUGGAAAGUUUCGGCGGUUGGGGAUGGACUCGCGGCUUAUCAGCUUGUUGGUGGGGUAGUGGCUUACCAAGGCUUUGACGGGUAGCCGGCCUGCGAGGGUGACCGGCCACAUUGGGACUGAGAUACGGCCCAGACUCCUACGGGAGGCAGCAGUGGGGAAUAUUGCACAAUGGGCGGAAGCCUGAUGCAGCAACGCCGCGUGCGGGAUGACGGCCUUCGGGUUGUAAACCGCUUUCGCCUGUGACGAAGCGUGAGUGACGGUAAUGGGUAAAGAAGCACCGGCUAACUACGUG